GCUUUCCUGUGGCUCAGUGGUUAGAGCAUGGCGCUAGCAACACCAAGGUCAUGGGUUCGAUCCUCAGUCAGAAACA